rnacentral:lncRNA from 1 species
ACGGGGAGGGGUGUCGCUGCCUCUCCUUUGGGUCUGGGAUGACCCCAGUGCACUGGAACAACACAUUCCUCUUGCUUUUUGCAUCGAUCCAGGCUCCACGUGGUUCACUCAGGGGGUCCCCAGGAAGCUAAGGCUCCCUGGAGUCUUACAGUCCAGGAAGCCACUGAAAAGCUCUCUAGAGGGAAGACGAUAGCCUGACUCCACCCACGUGGGUCACUGUGUGGCCUUCAUACAGAGAGCAGCAGGUCAUCACAGCAGUGCCACGGUGAGAUGAUGAGGCAGCACAGCCGGGGUGGGCAGGUUUACGAUGUCUCGGAGAAGAGACCUCACUUGCUGAGGAGCGCAAUAGCCAGGGACAGGAGGAGUCCAGACUGAUUCCAACUUAGACUGGAGAAAAGAUGCAGACGAUGGAGCCGUGUCCUUGCUGGGCGAAGCCUGGGGGGGGAAGCUGGCCUGAGGGACGGAAUGUAAGGAGCUAAAAGCCCUGGUUCCCGUGAGGUUGAAGAUGCUUCUGGGCUUUUAAGAAGAAAGUGAAGGCUGCUAGUGUCAUCUGCAGCCUGGGGCCUGAGGAUGGCUCUGGUUGGUACUUCAGAUCUGCCAGCCACCUGCUGAAGAAGCGGGGGUGGGAGGGUGCGGCAAGCGUGGGCUGCAAGAUGAGAGGAAGGAAGGGGAAGAAGCACGGUGGGAGAGGCAAAGAGGGAGACCUUGAGAAAGCUCUCCACUCAGGUGUAGGUGUAUCGAAGGGAGAAGGGACAAGGGACUGCAAGCGUUGAGCUCCAUCCACGUGGUGUAGCACGCCUAUCAUCUCAGGACCAAGGAAGCUGAGGCCAGCCUGAGCUACAGACAGUGAAAACCAAAGAUAGGAGAGAGAGAGAGAGAGAGAGAGAGAGAGAGAGAGAGAGAGAGAGAGAGUGUGUGUCUCAGUUGGGAGAGGUUUGCUGAGCGUCCACAAAACUCUGGGCUCAUUCCCCAGCACUGUAAACAAGGCAUGGUGGUGUCAGCCUUUAAGCUUAGCAUUUAGGAGAUGGAGGAUCUGAAGCUUAAGGUCGCUUUAAGCUACAUAAUGACCCAGCCUCCAACGCACAUAACAGGAAGUGGCUCAAAAGGGACUCCACCUAGGAAAGGGUGUGCGCGAAGAAAUUAAGAAAUGGAAGAAAGGGCUGAGGGAGAGGUCGAAUGAACACAGGCGGCUGUUUCAGGAGCCCAGUGGGGAAAAGUUUAAACACAGUGACUUAAUGAGAAGGCCAAAGUUAGGCUUUAAAUUUAUGAUUACUGUCCCUAAGAGAGCCAUAGAACAAAAAAAACCGCCUCUAACCCGAAAGCCCAUUGCCCCCAACCAGGUAACAUCCUGGGAUGCUGUUGUUCAUGUUAGGUAACGAGCCCCAAGUUCUCACUCUGGUAAACAAGGUUAGGUAAACAAGGUUAGUUGCCCCGACGACGCACAGGCGGAUGUGCUUGAUAACACGUGGGCAGGAGGUGCACAGGCAGGACGUAGGCUUGAUUCCAAUUGCAAGAUGGCACAAAAUACAGAGCCUUGCGCCUUUAAGCACCCGACUCAUGUCAUUCUCAGACUAACAUAACUUGCAACCGUGGCCUUUCUCUGGGAAUCUUGGACCUGGCUAGCGUCAAUCAUCCUGGACAGUAUUUAAUAAAACGUGUUUCAAAUUUAGGUCAAAA